CAGACUGGGCUGUUUGCCUUCAGAAGCUGGACUGGAAAUUGGUAUUUUGAGGAGAACUGAAUCCACUUUGCAAAGAAUGUAUGUUGGACAAAGACAAAGUAUCUCUGUUGGGAGACGUUGUUCACUGAGGAUUUAGCAAGGGAGAGCGUAACUUGAGUGUUUGAAGCCGUCUCGUUCAACCGAUGGGGGUUGUGAAUUUUGUGUUCAGAGCGUCAGAGGACUUGCAGGUAUUAGAAAACUACUCGGAUGCUCCAAUGACACCAAAACAGAUUCUGCAGGUCAUAGAGGCAGAAGGACUAAAGGAAAUGAGAAGUGGGACUUCCCCUCUCGCAUGCCUCAAUGCUAUGCUACAUUCCAAUUCAAGAGGAGGAGAGGGGUUGUUUUAUAAACUGCCUGGCCGAAUCAGCCUUUUCACGCUCAAGGUGUGAGCCACUGCACCAGGCCCCUUCAUCUUAAUUUUAAUAUAUCUUUGAAUAAACACCAUUGUAUGAACCUGCUGUAAGCUUGGGAGUGGUCUGUUAGUCUACAGCUUGUGUCUGAGAUGUGCUAAUUGAAUAUUUGCUCAGUACCUCAUCUUAACUGCCUUUGGCUUUAUGUUGCUUAUCCUUCAUAGUAUCUUGUUCAUUGGCCUUUUACAUCCAUAGGCAUCACUUCUCUGAUAUUCGUUGUGCUCUUUUAAUGGAUUAAUGGUUUGCUUGGUUGGUUCCUCUAGUUAGACUGUAAACUCCUUGAGAGCAGAGUCUGUAUUUUAUUAAUUACCCACAGUACUAGGUACAUAGUUGCCUUCAAUAAAUAUAUAUUUAAUGAACGAA
rnacentral:lncRNA from 10 species